UGAGGAAUAUUGGACAAUGGAGGCAACUCUGAUCCAGCCAUGCCGCGUGUAGGAAGACUGCCCUAUGGGUUGUAAACUACUUUUAUAGAGGAAGAAACCCCGGUAUGUAUACCGGUUUGACGGUACUCUACGAAUAAGGAUCGGCUAACUCCGUGCCAGCAGCCGCGGUAAUACGGAGGAUCCAAGCGUUAUCCGGAAUCAUUGGGUUUAAAGGGUCCGUAGGCGGGUUUGUAAGUCAGUGGUGAAAGUUUACGGCUCAACCGUGAAAUUGCCAUUGAUACUGCAAGUCUUGAAUCGUUAUGAAGUGGUUAGAAUAAGUAGUGUAGCGGUGAAAUGCAUAGAUAUUACUUAGAAUACCGAUUGCGAAGGCAGAUCACUAAUAAUGUAUUGACGCUAAGGGACGAAAGCGUGGGUAGCGAACAGGAUUAGAUACCCCCGUAGUCC
rnacentral:rRNA from 1 species